rnacentral:rRNA from 1 species
UACAGAGGUCUCAAGCGUUGUUCGGAUUCAUUGGGCGUAAAGGGUGCGUAGGCGGCGCGGUAAGUCGGGUGUGAAAUCUUGGAGCUUAACUCCGAAACUGCAUUCGAUACUGCCGUGCUUGAGGACUGGAGAGGAGACUGGAAUUUACGGUGUAGCGGUGAAAUGCGUAGAUAUCGGAAGGAACAUCAGUGGCGAAAGCGACUUCCUGGUCCAGCAUCGACGUUCACUCACGAAAGCGUGGGGAGCAAACAGG